UCAUUUGAGUUUUUCUUUUGGCUUAUACCUUGUGUACAUUGGGAUUGUUUGUUGCUUAUUGACUGUGGUUUGAUUGUCUGAGUAUUGUACUGAUUUGUUUGAUGUUUCCACAUGUACAUAAGUUGCUUUAAGUUCACUUGAACUUUGCUUUUGCUUGGUUGCUUAACCACUUAGGUAUAAUCCCUAAUCUUCAUGUAGUCUGGAAGACCUACUGUUAUUGGUAGGCAUCUGUCUG
rnacentral:lncRNA from 1 species